rnacentral:rRNA from 1 species
CCCUUAGAUGUCCUGGGCCGCACGCGCGUUACACUGAUGCAUUCAACGAGCUUAUAACCUUGGCCGAGAGGCCUGGGCAAUCUUGUUAACGUGCAUCGUGAUAGGGAUAGAUUAUUGAAAUUAUUAAUCUUGAACGAGGAAUUCCUAGUAAACGCAGAUCAUCAAUCUGCAUUGAUUACGUCCCUGCCCUUUGUACACACCGCCCGUCGCACCUACCGAUUGAGUGAUCCGGUGAAUACUUCGGACUGCAACCGGUGCGGUUUCCGUACCCUUUGCAAAAAGUUGAAUAAACCUUAUCACUUAGAGGAAGGAGAAGUCGUAACA